rnacentral:rRNA from 1 species
UACGUAGGGUGCGAGCGUUGUCCGGAAUUAUUGGGCGUAAAGAGCUCAUAGGCGGUCUGUCGCGUCGAAUGUGAAAACCCGGGGCUCAACUCCGGGCUUGCACUUCGAUACGGGCAGGCUAGAGUUCGGUAGGGGAGUCUGGAAUUCCUGGUGUAGCGGUGAAAUGCGCAGAUAUCAGGAGGAACACCGGUGGCGAAGGCGGGACUCUGGGCCGAUACUGACGCUGAGGAGCGAAAGCGUGGGGAGCGAACAGG